rnacentral:lncRNA from 1 species
AAACCAUGAGGAGGCACAAUAAGAAAGCAUAAAGAGUGGUAGAAAGAGGUUUUGAAUUUCGUGAGGCCAGGGACUUUGUCUAAAAACACAUUCAGUGAUUAUAUAAGGCUAAAUUAUCUAUGUAAUGAGCGACCAUGGCAGGAAAUUGAAUGUUUCAGCUCAGAAUCAAUGAGAGGGAAGACGUCUGGUGAAUACCCGUGGGAUCUAAAGAACAAGUAAGAUUUAAGCAUGCUAUGGGUUUUUUGGUCUGUUUUUUAAGUUUUCUUUGUUUUAUAGUAUUUCUUUACCACUAUAAAUUGUCACUUCUUAGAUAAGCAUUAGCACUUUUAUUAUGGAGCAUGAGGAAUAAAAAUGAACUUUUAACACUUUUGGAUUAUUUGGAGGCUUUAAAAACCUACACGAAUUUUCUACAUAUGGUAGGCAGACAGAAAGACAUUAUAGAUGGAGUGAAAUUUCAAGCCCAAAGUAAUGGGCAUGUUUUUAUGCUGAGUGAGAACAAAUCUUUAGAAUGAAUUCUUAUAAGGUAAUUUUUAAAUGAAGUGUCUAUUGCUAUAGCUGUUUUACUCUUACCUCUUGCCUAACAGAACAGGUCAGAGAGUAGUUCCUUUGAAGUCCCAAACCUACUUACUACCUGCAGAACCAUGACUUGGUACCAGAGAAUUUGGGCAAUAUGGGGUACAUUCCCCAAAUUAGAAUGUAAUAUAUGUUGGGAUGAUAAGGAGAGGGGCUUUAGUUAAUAGAGUAGAAAAGAGAAUAGGUGAGAUAAUGGUCAAAAGUAAAGCAAAUGAAGAGGGGAAAGUUGAAAAUAAUCAUAGGGAAUAAAGCAGAUCACCAUAAAAAUAAAAAGAGUAAACAAAUAGAUUACAUAAUAUUUUAUUAUCAACUAUUGAAAGAAAGGAUACAGAAAUAGGACAAAAUAAGAAUAGAGUGGAAACUGGAAACUAAAGAGAGGUAGAGACAGGAUAUGUAACAGGUUAUACUUGAUUAAAAUAGAGAAAUAAAAGAGGAAGUGUUCUAAGAUAAAGUUCCAUUUUUAAUUUUUCCUACUUAUUUGACAGUUUACUUAGUUGAAACUAGAUCUUGAGUGGUUUAAAAAAUAGAAAUGUUGAAUAUUUUUAUCUGUUUCAUUGAAGAAGGAAAAAUUGUAGUCAUCGUAUAAUUAUUUGAUGUUUUGGAGAUUUUUGCUUUAUGCGCAAUUCAAGCCAUGUUCAAAUGAAGAAAAUGUUUCUUGAUUUGUAUCAAGUUUUCCUUGAGUGUUCUAACCCUGCUCUACUCUUGAAAUCACUUGACUUUGAAAAAAGGGAAAAUCAUGCAUUUAGAGAGGUUAAAUAAGUCAUUAUAAUGUCUUUCUCAUCUACAGAAAGCAUGUGUUAACCAAUAUAAAUUUACAGUCAGAACAGUUCAAAUUGCUCCUGCAUUCAGGAAGGCAAAGCCCUAAAUUGAGCCUGUUGUUAUUGUGUAAUUGCUAUUUGCAGGCAAAAGAAAGGUUAACACUGGGACUUCCCUUCAUGGCUCAGGGAAAAGGCCGCAGGUUCCAUCCCUGGCCUUACUAAGUGGGUUAAGGAUCCUGCAUUGCUGUAAGCUGUGUUGUAGGUCGCAAACAUGGCUCGGAUCCCAUGUUGCUAUGGCUAUGGUGUAGACCAGAGGCUACAGCUCCAACUCAAUCCCUAGCCUGGGAACCUCCAUAUGCCACAGGUGUGGCCCUAAAAAAAAAA